rnacentral:rRNA from 1 species
GUCUUUUUGAAAGUAAAAAAAGUCAAGCCUGCCCGCUGAUAGAAUUUAAGGGCCGCGGUAUUUUGACCGUGCGAAGGUAGCAUAAUAAUUAGUUUUUUAAUUGGAAUCUUGUAUGAAUGGUUAGACAAGAGAAAAUCUGUCUCUAUAUUAAAUAUUGAAUUUGACUUUUAGGUGAAAAGGCUUAAAUAAAUUAAAGGGACGAUAAGACCCUAUAAAGCUUAAUAUUAAAUAUUAUUUGAUUGAAUUAAGUAUAAAAAUUUUAUAGUAUGAUUUAUUUUAUUGGGGUGAUAAAGGUAAAAUGUUUAUUAACUGCUUUAACGGUGAGACAUAUUUAAUUGAGAUAAGUUUAUAAAGGAUCCUUAUUAAAGAUUACAAGUUUAAGUUACUUUAGGGAUAACAGCGUUAUUUUUUUUGAGAGUGCGUAUCGAAAAAAAAGUUUGCGACCUCGAUGUUGAAUUAAAAUUCCUUUAUAGAAGCAGAAACUAUAAAAGUUGGUCUGUUCGACCUUUAAAAUUUUACAUGAUUUGAGUUCAAACCGGCGUAAG